rnacentral:lncRNA from 11 species
UCAAAGAAAUGUUUGUUAAAAGAUAUUCCAUCUCUGAUCUUGAGGGACUACAUUUUUUUCUUUAAAGGGGAAGUGUAUGGAACUCAUCAUAGAGGCAGAGGAAAUAAAAAGGGAUAUCAUCAUUUUCCUUCUGAGUCUCUCCCAUCCACUGAUACAAUCGGGGAAAUGCACGGAACUCAUCAUCGAGUCAGAGGAAAUAAAGAGCGAUAUCCACAUCUUCCUUUUCAGCAUUUCCCACCCAUCAGUACUCCACAUUUCCCCAAACAUAUCAGCUCAAAGAAAUGUCAAUGCAAACAUCGCUGUUCACGCAAUGAAUAUGCAGACUCAGCAUGCACCCAUGGUUUUCUCCACUGUUGUAAAAUGAGAGCUCCACCAUCGUAUCAUAAUUUCCCCAAAAUACCUCCGUAUCCUGUCAUCGCACCAGAUUUCCCCAAUAGUAUCAGCGCAAAGAAAUGUCAAUGCAAAAAACACUGUUCACACAAGGAAUAUGCAGACUCAGCAUGCACCCAUGGCUUUCGCCACUGUUGUAAAAUGAAAGUUCCAUCUUCGUACCAUAAUGUCCCCAAAAUACCUCCCCAUCCUAUCAUCGCACCAGGGAGUUUUCUUGAGGACAGCGCCUUACCUCACAAUCCGUUUCUCAGUUUUCCUGACACACCUUUAACUCCCAUUGUGGCUUUAGAUUUCCCCAAACGUAUCAGCACAAAGAAAUGUCAAUGCAAACGUCGCUGUUCACACAAAGAAUAUGCAGUCUCAGCAUGCACCCAUGGGUUUCUCUACUGUUGUAAAAUGAGAGUUCCAUCUUCGUUCCAUAAUGUCCCCAAAAUACCUCACUAUCCUGUCAUCGCACCAGAGAUACCUAAAAGCCAUGAUGAUGACUUUUUGAAAACGACCUUCCAAAAGUCUCUGAUUGUAAAGACCAUUUCAAGUUACGUCCCACCUUAUGAUAGCAAUUGUCGGGGUAGAUGCAGGAGACAAUGUGCCUAUGAUGAAUAUAGAAUCUCCUCACGUUCCUGCCUCAUUCGUGGCUUAGUCUACUGUUGUAAAGUGAAUGCGACAUGUCAAGGAACCUGUAAGAGAAGGUGUAUAGGGAGAGAAUAUCCAUCUGGAAACAAAUUCUGCCCUUAUUUUGGUCAUGUCUACUGCUGCAACCCAUAAGCUAAACUAUGGUAAAAUAGCAUGCAGUGGAAUUACCAAAAUGCAGCAGUCAUUCCAUAACGGUGGAUCACUUCGACAGCAUCAGUCUCACAAACAUGAUACAUUGAAAAUUGAUUGUGAAGAAUCUCCAAGACUUUUUGAAAGUCUUCCAGAAAUUAACUCUCCCAUUCCUUUAUACAAAUGCUUUAACUUACUGCUCUUAAUAAAACCAAAUCUGUUGUGCAG